AGCGAACGCUGGCGGCAGGCCUAACACAUGCAAGUCGAACGAACCUUUCGGGGUUAGUGGCGGACGGGUGAGUAACACGUGGGAACGUGCCUUUAGGUUCGGAAUAACUCAGGGAAACUUGUGCUAAUACCGAAUGUGCCCUUCGGGGGAAAGAUUUAUCGCCUUUAGAGCGGCCGCGUCUGAUUAGCUAGUUGGUUGAGGUAAUGGCUCACCAAGGCGACGAUCAGUAGCUGGUCUGAGAGGAUGAUCAGCCACAUUGGGACUGAGACACGGCCCAAACUCCUACGGGAGGCAGCAGUGGGGAAUCUUGCGCAAUGGGCGAAAGCCUGACGCAGCCAUGCCGCGUGAAUGAUGAAGGUCUUAGGAUUGUAAAAUUCUUUCACCGGGGACGAUAAUGACGGUACCCGGAGAAGAAGCCCCGGCUAACUUCGUG
rnacentral:rRNA from 1 species